CACUACCUGGUGACAGUUUUCACAAAUAUGUAAAAGAAAAAAAAUUCAAAUAAUAGUUAAACUGCACCUUCAACAAAAGCAAUAAUUAUAUUUAACCAACCGCAAAAAGCAGAGUCAGUGCAGUUCAGACUAGUCCACUGACCUCCAGGAGAGUUUUACCAUCAGCCAGUUUUUUGCCAGCAGUCACUAAACAAACCAAACGAUCUCAGAUGUAAACAUCUGAGAUCGUUUGGUUUGUUUAGUAAAGCUAUAUGUAAAGCCUUAUAAUUGAUUAUACUUCUAUAGAAAAUUGCUAUUGUUUUUGCGGUCUUUUCCUUUAUGCAUUUAAUAUUGUCUCCAAGUUGAUUAUAGUCGAUAAUCACUAAAAACUGUAUUUCUGUCACUCGUUCAAUUUCAGCAUCACAUAUUUUUAGAAUCAUGUCCCCCAAUAAUUUCUUUUUGAUGUCACCCUAAUCUUUUGCUCCCUCCAUAUUUUCUCAAACUUUAAAAAUUAAAGUCUGGACUUUGACUAAGUCACUCAAUACAACAGUAUUGCUUCCAGUUAAAUGUGUUGGUAAGCUAUUUAUUUAAACCUAAAAAUCUGAGCUUAAUAUAAAAUAUUAAAAGAAAUUAAGGGGUUUAAGCUUCUUUUUUUUUUUGCAAAUGUUCUGCUUCUAUACAGUACAUCCUACAGAUGAUGUGUGUUUUGUGUGAGUGUGUUUACAUGAUGUUAUUCCAUCAUAUUCUACAGAUCUCUGUCCAAACUCUGUGAAAUGUGCUGAAUUCCUCUGGUCUGCUCUCCUCCAGGUCUUAAAGGAUCUUUAGCUGAAACCUUGGAGCUUCCAAGGUUCAGGGAUUUUCACAUCUGAAACUCAUAGUUUGAACUUUGAGUCCAAAAACACUGCUGCAUCAACUAAUAAGAAGCAUCAACUACCUUCUUCAAUUGUAGCAAUGGAUGCUUUAUUUAGCCAUCUUCUAAGUUGUCAGAGUGUUAGUGGCAGUCACAGCUCCAACAACAGCUGUUCACUUUAUGUCAUUUAUGACAUCUUUCGUUUUUUCCAAAUUAUACAGUUUCCCUUCACAUCAGCAUGCAGGUGGUGGAAUUCUGGACACAACUUGGUUUUUGAAUGAGGCAAUAAACUCAAACAAAAACAUUGCCUUUUUUAAUUUAUUCCAUCCAAAUCCAAACAUUAAGCUUCAUGGCCUACCCUGACCUCAACCUUGCUGAAAUGUGAGAAUAGAAAAGUAUCACUUUCUCAACUGAGUGGGUGAAAAGCAGAUACAAUAAUAGGGUGACAAACAAUUUAGAAUGUAAAACAAGAGGCAAACAGAAUACCUGACCACAGUAUUGUGAUGCACAUGGGAAUCCACUGAAGUUAUUAGAACCGAGUUCUUCAAAGCCCCUAGAGUUCAAUAGGAGAGUAGCAUGAACUAUGGUGGCCUGUGAUUAGAGAUAAUCCCAACAUCAAAGAGACAUAUAAUAGUACAGUAAAAACCAAAUACCAAGUGCUAUGAAAUACUGAAUAGAAGAAACAGGUGUGUUAGAGACAGGAUGUGGUUCACUAUAUUAAUCUUUUUACAAUAAAAAAAGCUAUCAGCAUUUUCAUUGGUAAUUUUCCAAACAAGUUUCUCUUAGAAGUCAGAGGAUAACUUGUGUCUUAAAUGAGAGGAAAAAAGUAAAGAAACGGAUGUGAAUAUUUUCAGUGAAAAUAGGCUUUAUUGUGUAUGACAGUGUCCAUUGGGUUCACCUGCAUUCCAACAAUAAGUCAAAUAAAAUCAUGGUCUAUAAAAAAAAGUUUGAAGGAUGAAUGACAAACCUGGAUGGUUAGUUUUAAACACUCCAAAGGAAAUAAAACUACUUCUGCUUUUAUUGAGUAGAGUGAUGAAAUUAUUGCACUUUAGGAACAAAUGGCAUCAAACAUUAAUACUUAACUUGAAAGAGGGGACAUCGUUUAAGCACAAAUUUUGCUCUUCUUAACAAUGAUGUAUGUUUCUAAAAACAGCUGAACAUGAGCAUAUUAGUCCAGAUGUGUGUCACACCUCUGGCAGACAUGUUUGGCACACAUUUGAGUGGAAUGGAUCAAUAAACAUCAGUCCAGCACACAUCAGACUGAUGUGAAAGUUUUGGACAUUAAAUAUAUGGCUUCAUACUCACUACACCAACAAGUCCUCCAAUCAGAUCCUAGUCUAAAUACUAACUCAAAAAUCACAUUUGUUGAACACAUUUUAUUUCAUUCAGUUAAAAAUACUGAUUUUUAACUGAUCUGUUUAAGAUAGUCUUGUUCUAAACUGUAAAAUUCAAACCUUUUAUUUUUCUUAUAGUUUUUGUACAGUAAAAAGAAAAUACUCAGACAAAAUGGCAGAAACAUCUAUUACUAACAGUCUUUGGAAGUGUGUUCAGACACAAGAAAAUGCAUAUAUAUAUAUAUAUAUUUUAGAUAUGCAUCUAAAAAUAAAACAUAAAAAUCUGCUUAGAAACUUUGCAUAGAUUGUCACUGAAGGAUAAACCUGCCAUAAUAUUCCAUUUUCAUAGCAAUGCGAUGUAACAGAGUCCAAGAGAGAAGGGCAGAGGAAUGAACUGCUCUGGCUUUCUAAAGCCUCACAUCAAGAUCACAGAAGAG